CCUACGGGAGGCAGCAGUGGGGGAUAUUGCUCAAUGGGCGCAACCCUGAUGCAGCGACGCCGCGUGGGUGAAGAAGGGCCUCCGCGCGGAAAGCCCCGUCAGCAGGGAAGAAAAUGACGGUACCUGAAGAAGAAGCCCCGGGUAACGACGUGCCAGCAGCCGCGGAAAUCCGUAGGGGGCAGGCGUUAUCCGGAUUUACUGGGUGUAAAGGGGGCGUAGACGGCGAUGCAAGCCAGGAGUGAAAGCCCGGGGCCCAACCCCGCGACUGCGGUUGGAACUGCGUGGCUGGAGUGGAGGAGGAGUAGGCGGAAUGCGUGGUGUAGCGGUGAAAUGCGUAGAUAUCAGGCAGAACACCGAUGGCGAAGGCAGCCUGCUGGACUGCAACUGACGUUGAGGCACGAAAGCGUGGGGAGCGAACAGGAUUAGAUACCCGGGUAGUC
rnacentral:rRNA from 1 species